rnacentral:rRNA from 1 species
GUAGGUGGCAAGCGUUGUCCGGAAUUAUUGGGCGUAAAGCGCGCGCAGGCGGUUCUUUAAGUCUGAUGUGAAAGCCCACGGGCUCAACCGUGGAGGGUCAUUGGAAACUGGAGAACUUGAGUACAGAAGAGGAAAGCGGAAUUCCACGUGUAGCGGUGAAAUGCGUAGAGAUGUGGAGGAACACCAGUGGCGAAGGCGGCUUUCUGGUCUGUAACUAACACUGAGGCGCGAAAGCGUGGGGAGCAAACAGGAUUAGAUACCCUGGUAGUCCACGCCGUAAACGAUGAGUGCUAAGUGUUAGGGGGUUUCCGCCCCUUAGUGCUGCAGCUAACGCAUUAAGCACUCCGCCUGGGGAGUACGGCCGCAAAGGCUG